UACGUAGGGGGCAAGCGUUGUCCGGAAUCAUUGGGCGUAAAGCGCGUGUAGGCGGUUCGGUAAGUCUGCUGUGAAAGUCCAGGGCUCAACCCUGGGAUGCCGGUGGAUACUGUCGGACUAGAGUACGGAAGAGGCGAGUGGAAUUCCUGGUGUAGCGGUGAAAUGCGCAGAUAUCAGGAGGAACACCAAUUGCGAAGGCAGCUCGCUGGGACGUUACUGACGCUGAGGCGCGAAAGCGUGGGGAGCGAACAGG
rnacentral:rRNA from 1 species